AAAAUCAAAGUGUCAGCAGGGCUGUGUUCCUUCUGGAGGCUCUGAGGGAACACUUUGUUUCCUUGCGUUUUUCAGCUUCUAGAAGCCACCCGCGUCUCUCCUCACGGCCCUGCAUCACUUUGACCAUCUGUGGUCACUUCUCCUUCUAUCACCCCCUUGCCUCCCUCUUAUGUAGAUCCUCGAGAUUACAUUGGGCCCAUCUGGAAAAUCCAGGACCAUCUCCACAUCUCAAGAGCCUUAAUUUAAUCACAUCCACAGAGUCCCUCUUACUGCCAAAGAUCACAUGUUCACACGUUCUGGGGACUGGGAUACAGACAUUUUUGAGAAACCAUUAUUCUGUCUACCACAGAGAGAGUGUUUAAAAAGGGGAGGGUUUACUAUUGUUAUUCAGGAAUGGUGAGGGCAACAGAUCAAGAGACAAUUGCCAUUGAAAAGAUAGUUUGUUACAGUUCCCAAGAGAAAGGGACAGCCAUGCUACACAGGGCCACACGGGGAAACACCAGGGUUGGUCAGGAGGCAGGAGUGAGGGGAAUACAUGGGCGAGAGCUUUAUUGUGGUUCCUGUAGAAAGGAACGGGCACGGCAAGAUAAGCAGGUUUAGGUCUAGCUAGUUUGAGUCCUUUAGGCAGGUUCUGGGGAGUAUGGACUGUCCCAAGUUGUCUGGUACCUGGUUUGGGAACAUUAGGACAGGGGAAUAUGGCUCAGGACUGUAGGGGCCAUAAAGGUAGUUGGGGUCUGGGCUGUGCAUUGGUUAGUUUGCACAGGAGAGGUGCACUUACUGGCAGGCGAAUGGUUGACUAUGUCUAGCAACUGACUAACCCUGAGGGGAACAGUCUCUACAGUGUCUGCAGGGCCCCAGACGUCAAAACAUCAGAAACACAUGGUAAAUACAGAGGGUGACAGAGACCCAGAAAAUGGGGUGAAAGCAGAGUAGGAUUCCCUGAGAAACAUGAGGUCCCUGGCUUCUCAUUUAUUUCUCUUCCAUGAGACUCCCAAAUCCUCUCUUUAUCUAUUCCAAGCUGUUGGCAGCUGGAGCUGGAACUCCGAUGGGAGACAUUCCGAAGAGAGAGUAAUCAUUUUAAAACCUUUGCACACGCAGAUCAAAAUGGAAACCAUUUUCAGAUUAAGUAUAAAGGGUCAAUAGGAUUCUGUCUAUUUGAGACUAGAAUUAAAGGUCAGGCAGGAGGCAGGGAGGGGUGGCAUUUGCUCCAGGGCAGAGAUCACUCCAUUCUUGCCCACGUGUGCAGCGCAAUGAACUUUAGACACCCUGAGCCUCCUUCCUCGUUCCUUUUGGAACUUGAAGUCUAUUGGGGGAGACAGUAACCAAGGGGACACACUUGCAAACAAAGAAUUGCAAAUUGUGCAAGGCAUCCUGGGCAAGGGAACGGGUCUCCUUAGAUAAGGGAGUCCGCGGCAGGGUCCCGGAAACUGGUUGUAUAAGUGUGUCCAUAUAAUAGCUAUUGCUUGCUGACCUCAAAUUUCUGGCCAGGAGCCAUGUCAUUCAUGUGUGUUAUUAUCAAAUCCUUCAAAAGAUGUUGGAAGGCUACUACCAUUUUAUGUCCGUUUUCCAGAUUGGGUCACUGAGUUCAGCUCCAUUUUCCAAGAGAAGCAGAGUUGAUGUUUGCUGUCAUUGUCACUGGGAUUCAGAUGGGGGGUUUGGGGGCAUGGCACAUGUAUCUUCCCAGGACCCACCCUUGGACAUUCCCAGGUCUGAGAAUACCUAUUGUUAAUGAGCCUCCCAGAUAAUUUUUAUCAUCGGGGUCUCCUUUACACUUUUUCCCUGUGUGACUGUUAAACUUGACCUGCCCUGUGUCCAGGUAUGUGUUGGUAUACCAGCCCUGGAGAGAUGGGGGCAGUUCUAAUUAAUGUAGCCCCUGCCAAUUUCCUUCAUCAGCUGUUGGUGCAAACACGUGUGACAUCCGGGGCGGCUGCAGCUACACCGGGACAAGAGGAGUGCAGCCUCUACACCUACCAUGGAAGAGCUAGAUGGGAGAACCUGGUUCCCUGAAGGUCUUGGAGCCACCCUGUGUUGGGACUUCUUGUUCUGGGUGAUAAUACACUUUUCUCUAUUAUUUAAGCUUAGGUUUGGGUUUUCUGUCUUGUGGCUGGAAGUAUCCUGCUGAAGGUGUGUGUGUGUGUGUGUGUGUGUGUGUGUGUGUGUGCAGAGGACUCAUCAGGAGAGGGCAGAAAGAUGCCAGGAUGGAGCCACUCAGAAAUGAUACUUUGGUUGAAUCUUACAGAAUGAGGACUUAGGCAGGUAAAGUAGGGAUAGAGUACUAGAGACAAUAGUAUAUAUAAACAGAAGCAUGGAUUUGUCCCAGAAAGUGUAUUUGGAUGGAACUGGAGUACACAGCAGGACACAUUGCAGUGUAAGGUAAGGCCAAAAAGGCGGGUGGGGCCUCCCACUGAGGCUGAGGGGCUGGAACCCGAUCCUGGGGCGGGGUCGGCUCUGGGAUCCUUCUGUGGCUGUGUCGGGAAGGCGCAAGGGGCCAAGCUGUCAGGAAGGAGGCUGAAGCUGAGAUGGCCAGAAGCCAGGGAUCAGGGAGAGUAAAUGCUCCUGGUAUCAGAGCUGAUCAGCUCUGUGAGGACUCUGCUGCCCCUCAACCCAGCCAUGGCGAAGACACAGUCUUUGAGGCAUCACUGGUCCCACAAAAGGCAGAGAAAGGUCUCGAGGACCACCCAAGCCCCAUAAACCAACAGAAGCUGGGCCCAGAGCAGGAGGCAGGAUUCCAGCAGCUGUCAGAUGCAGGAUGCUAGAGCGGCCCCAAUCUGGGGCAGCGAGGCCAAACUGUCUAGGAAGGCAGGCACACAGCAGACCCUCUCCGGAGGCAGGGGGCUUUCCUAAGCUAGGCUGACCCUGUGAGCACCCGACGACAUGAGAAGGCAGGUCCCUUGGAGGGGGACGGAAAGAAGGGACCACAGAUUGGGAGGCUGUGGAAGUGGAGGCAGCAGACAGGGGGCCUGGGUAGCAAUUGGGAAGUGCCACCCUGCCUCACUUCCUCUAGGAAGUCACAUGUGUUGUCCCCAGAAGAGGCUGAUUGUGACACCUCACUUCCCUCCCACCCUUGGAGGGGGACGGAAAGAAGGGACCACAGAUUGGGAGGCUGUGGAAGUGGAGGCAGCAGACAGGGGGCCUGGGUAGCAAUUGGGAAGUGCCACCCUGCCUCGCUUCCUCUAGGAAGUCACAUGUGUUGUCCCCAGAGGAGGCUGAUUGUGACACCUCACUUCCCUCCCACCAGCUGCCGUUGGUAGGAACCCAGAGUGCCAGGGUCCUGGAGAAUCACAAGUGCUGGGAAUCCGGC